UUCACUCACCCCCUUUUGCAUAUCUGCCUAUAUACCGCCGUCGCAAGCUUACCCUACUAAGGUCAAAUAGUAAGCAAAAUUGGUAUAACCCAAAACGUCAGGUCGAGGUGUAGUAUAUGAGGGGGGAAGAGAUGGGCUACAUUGGCUAAUUUAGUCAAUACGGAAAACUAUAAUGAAACUUAUGCUUGAAGGUGGAUUUAGUAGUAAGUAAAAAACAGAGUGUUUUACUGAACAUGGCCCUUAAGCGCGCACAUACCGCCCGUCACCCUCUCUUAAAGCCCAUAAGCUUAAAUUACUAAUUAUACUUCCCCGCUAACUAAAGGGAGGGAAGUCGUAACAUGGUAAGUGUACCGGAAGGUGUACUUGGAAG
rnacentral:rRNA from 1 species